UACGUAGGGUGCGAGCGUUGUCCGGAAUCACUGGGCGUAAAGCGCACGUAGGCGGAUGUGUCAGUCAGGGGUGAAAUCCCGGAGCUCAACUUCGGAACUGCCUUUGAUACAGCACGUCUUGAGUCCGAUAGAGGUGGGUGGAAUUCCUAGUGUAGAGGUGAAAUUCGUAGAUAUUAGGAAGAACACCAGUGGCGAAGGCGGCUCACUGGCCCGGUACUGACGCUGAGGCGCGAAAGCGUGGGGAGCAAACAGG
rnacentral:rRNA from 1 species